rnacentral:misc_RNA from 1 species
UCUCCGUAGGUGAACCUGCGGAGGGAUCAUUACUGAGUGAGGGCUCACGCCCGACCUCCAACCCUUUGUGAACUAAUCUUGUUGCUUCGGGGGCGACCCUGCCGGCACUCUGUCGCCGGGCGCCCCCGAAGGUCUCCAAACACUGCAUCUUUGCGUCGGAGUUUAAAACAAAUUAAACAAAACAUUCAACAACGGAUCGCCUGGUUCAGGCAUCGAUGAAGAACGCAGC